CCUACGGGAGGCAGCAGUGAGGAAUAUUGGUCAAUGGCCGGAAGGCUGAACCAGCCAAGCCGCGUGAGGGAGGAAGGCGCAGAGCGUCGCAGACCUCUUUUGUCGGGGGACAAAAGGCCGGACUCGUCCGGUCCUGAGGGUACCCGGAGAAAAAGCAUCGGCUAACUCCGUGCCAGCAGCCGCGGUAAUACGGAGGAUGCGAGCGUUAUCCGGAUUCAUUGGGUUUAAAGGGUGCGCAGGCGGGCCUUCAGGCCGGCGGUGAAAUCGCGGGGCUCAACUCCGCCGAGCCGUCGGAACUGGGGGCUUUGAGGGCGGCGGAGGCAUGCGGAAUGCGCGGUGUAGCGGUGAAAUGCAUAGAGA
rnacentral:rRNA from 1 species